rnacentral:rRNA from 1 species
AACGAACGCUGGCGGCAGGCCUAACACAUGCAAGUCGAGCGCCCUCGCGAGGGGGAGCGGCGGACGGGUGAGUAACGCGUGGGAACGUGCCUCUUGCUUCGGAAUAGCCUCGGGAAACUGGGGGUAAUACCGAAUGUGCCCUACGGGGGAAAGAUUUAUCGGCAAGAGAUCGGCCCGCGUUGGAUUAGGUAGUUGGUGGGGUAAUGGCCUACCAAGCCGACGAUCCAUAGCUGGUUUGAGAGGAUGAUCAGCCACACUGGGACUGAGACACGGCCCAGACUCCUACGGAAGGCAGCAGUGGGGAAUCUUAGACAAUGGGCGCAAGCCUGAUCUAGCCAAGCCGCGUGAGCGAUGAAGGCCUUAGGGUUGUAAAGCUCUUUCGUGGGGGAAGAUAACGACUGUACCCCAAGAAGAAGCCCCGGCUAACUCCGUGCCAGCCGCCGCGGUAA